AACCUGCCCUGUGGUAGGGAAUAACCGUGGGAAACUGCGGCUAAUACCCUAUGAGUCCUUCGGGAGAAAGAUUUAUCGCCAUAGGAGGGGCCCGCGUCGGAUUAGGUAGUUGGUGGGGUAACGGCCUACCAAGCCUUCGAUCCGUAGCUGGUCUGAGAGGAUGAUCAGCCACACUGGGACUGAGAUACGGCCCAGACUCCUACGGGAGGCAGCAGUGGGGAAUAUUGGACAAUGGGGGCAACCCUGAUCCAGCAAUGCCGCGUGGAUGAUGAAGGCCUUCGGGUUGUAAAGUCCUUUCGGCGGGGAAGAUGAUGACGGUACCCGCAGAAGAAGCCCCGGCUAACUUCGUGCCAGCAGCCGCGGUAAUACGAAGGGGGCUAGCGUUGUUCGGAAUUACUGGGCGUAAAGGGCGCGUAGGCUGUGCUGUAAGUCAGGCGUGAAAGCCCCGGGCUCAACCUGGGAAUUGCGCUUGAUACUGCGGCGCUGGAAGGUGGGAGAGGAUGGCGGAAUUCCCAGUGUAGAGGUGAAAUUCGUAGAUAUUGGGAAGAACACCGGUGGCGAAGGCGGCCAUCUGGCCCACAUUGACG
rnacentral:rRNA from 1 species